rnacentral:tRNA from 1 species
GGGAAUGUGGCUUAGUGGUAAAGUGCUUGCCUCGCAUGCAUGAUGCCCUGGAUUCCAUUCCUC